UACGAAGGGGGCGAGCGUUGUUCGGAAUUACUGGGCGUAAAGGGCGCGUAGGCGGCCGAUCAAGUCAGAUGUGAAAGUCCUGGGCUUAACCUGGGGACUGCAUUUGAUACUGAUUGGCUUGAAUGCAGGAGAGGAUAGCGGAAUUCCCGGUGUAGCAGUGAAAUGCGUAGAGAUCGGGAGGAACAUCAGUUGCGAAGGCGGCUCUCUGGACCAGCACUGACACUGAGGCACGAAAGCGUGGGGAGCGAACAGG
rnacentral:rRNA from 1 species